AAUGAAGUGCCUGAAAAAAGGGUUAUUUUGAUAGAAUAAAUUAUGUAUAUUUAUACCUUCAUUA
rnacentral:tRNA from 1 species